rnacentral:tRNA from 4 species
GCGUCCGUAGCUCAGCUGGAUAGAGUACCUGGCUACGAACCAGGCGGUCAGAGGUUCGAAUCCUCUCGGACG